CCUACGGGUGGCAGCAGUGGGGAAUCUUGGACAAUGGGGGCAACCCUGAUCCAGCGAUGCCGCGUGAGCGAAGAAGGCCUUAGGGUUGUAAAGCUCUUUCGCCCGCGACGAUAAUGACGGUAGCGGGAGAAGAAGCCCCGGCUAACUCCGUGCCAGCAGCCGCGGUAAUACGGAGGGGGCUAGCGUUGUCCGGAAUUACUGGGCGUAAAGCGCGCGUAGGUGGUCUGCCAAGUCGGGGGUGAAAGCCCAGGGCUCAACCCUGGAAUGGCCUCCGAGACUGAUGGACUCGAGUUCGGGAGAGGAGAGCGGAAUUCCCAGUGUAGAGGUGAAAUUCGUAGAUAUUGGGAAGAACACCGGUGGCGAAGGCGGCUCUCUGGCCCGCAACUGACACUGAGGCGCGAAAGCGUGGGGAGCAAACAGGAUUAGAUACCCUUGUAGUC
rnacentral:rRNA from 1 species